rnacentral:rRNA from 1 species
CAGUCGAACGUGAAGCCACCUUCGGGUGGUGGAAAGUGGCAGACGGGUGAGUAACGCGUGGGAACGUGCCUUUCGGUUCGGAAUAACCCAGGGAAACUUGGGCUAAUACCGGAUACGCCCUUCGGGGGAAAGAUUCAUCGCCGGAUGAUCGGCCCGCGUCGGAUUAGCUAGUUGGUGGGGUAAUGGCCCACCAAGGCGACGAUCCGUAGCUGGUCUGAGAGGAUGACCAGCCACACUGGGACUGAGACACAGACCCAGACUCCUACGGGAGGCAGCAGUGGGGAAUAUUGGACAAUGGGCGAAAGCCUGAUCCAGCCAUGCCGCGUGGGUGAAGAAGGCCUUAGGGUUGUAAACCCCUUUCAGCGGGGAAGAUAAUGACGGUACCCGCAGAAGAAGUCCCGGCUAACUCCGUGCCAGCAGCCGCGGUAAUACGGAGGGGACUAGCGUUGUUCGGAAUUACUGGGCGUAAAGCGCGCGUAGGCGGAUUUGCAAGUCGGGGGUGAAAUCCCGAGGCUCAACCUCGGAACUGCCCUCGAUACUGCAAAUCUCGAGUCCGGAAGAGGUGAGUGGAAUUCCUAGUGUAGAGGUGAAAUUCGUAGAUAUUAGGAAGAACACCAGUGGCGAAGGCGGCUCACUGGUCCGGUACUGACGCUGAGGCGCGAAAGCGUGGGGAGCAAACAGGAUUAGAUACCCUGGUAGUCCACGCCGUAAACUAUGGGUGCUAGCCGUCGGGGAGCAUGCUCUUCGGUGGCGCAGCAAACGCAUUAAGCACCCCGCCUGGGGAGUACGGUCGCAAGAUUAAAACUCAAAUGAAUUGACUGGG